rnacentral:lncRNA from 1 species
UGUUUACUUUGGCACCCCGUUUCCCUUGGCGACUCGUCUCCUCUGGUGCCUUGACUCCUCUGGCGCUUCGUCUCCUCUGGCGCCUUGACUACUCUGGAUAGAGCCCCGUUUUUGUUCGUUUUUGUUGUUUUCCUUCUCCUUUGCUUGGUUUUUUGUCUUCUUUUUGUCUUGUUUUUUUUCGGACUCUCCUUGUUUGCGCCUGUGCUCUCAAGGGUUUUUGUUUUCUUCAAUAAAAUUUCUAUUUCAGCA